GUGAAACGAAAAUGCAUGUUUCUCACUUUGUAUUUGCCCUCUUGAUUGGUGUUCAUUACUGCGGACGGACGAGGACACCAAGUCCAACGCGUUGGUGAAAUUAAGGGUUGCAAAUCCACAAGUUAAUUGUCUGUGACACACUCAAGACGUCCAUGCUGGUCAGAGCAGUGCCCUGCAUAUUCUUAUUUUUCUUUCUAAACAUGGCUCAAGAAGACAAAGAGAAGACAACUGCUCUGAAAGAUUUACUGUCAAGGAUAGAUCUCGAUGAGCUGAUGAAGAAAGAUGAGCCUCCCCUCACCUUCCCAAAGACGCUGGAGGAAUUUGAGUAUGCCUUUAAUGAACGUGGGCAGUUAAGACACACCAAGACUGGCGAGGCCUUCAUCUUCAACUACAGAGAGGACCUGCACCGAUGGAACCAGAAGCGAUACGAAGCUCUGGG